UACGUAGGCAGCGAGCGUUGUUCGGAGUUACUGGGCGUAAAGAGUGCGUAGGCGGUUUUCUAAGUUUGGUGUGAAAUCUCCCGGCUCAACUGGGAGGGUGCGCCGAAGACUGGAAGGCUUGAGUAUGGGAGAGGUAAGCGGAAUUCCUGGUGUAGCGGUGAAAUGCGUAGAUAUCAGGAGGAACACCUGCGGUGUAGACGGCUUCUGGACCAUAACUGACGCUGAGGCACGAAAGCGUGGGUAGCAAACAGG
rnacentral:rRNA from 1 species